AUUGAACGCUGGCGGCAGGCCUAACACAUGCAAGUCGAACGAGUGGCGGACGGGUGAGUAAUGUCUGGGAAACUGCCCGAUGGAGGGGGAUAACUACUGGAAACGGUAGCUAAUACCGCAUACCAUCGGAUGUGCCCAGAUGGGAUUUGCUAGUAGGUGGGGUAACGGCUCACCUAGGCGACGAUCCAUAGCUGGUCUGAGAGGAUGACCACACGCACUGGAACUGAAACAAGGUCCAGACUCCUACGGGAGGCAGCAGUGGGGAAGAUUGCACAAUGGGCGCAAGCCUGAUGCAGCCAUGCCGCGUGUAUGAAGAAGGCCUUCGGGUUGUAAAGUGCUUUCAGCGAGGAGGCGUUACUCGCAGAAGAAGCACCGGCUAACGCCGUGCCAGAAGCCGCGGUAAUAC
rnacentral:rRNA from 1 species